CAGCCGCCGCGGUAAUACCGGCGGCCCGAGUGGUGGCCGCUAUUAUUGGGCCUAAAGCGUCCGUAGCCGGGUUGGGAAGUCCUCCGGGAAAUCUGGCCGCUUAACGGUCAGAAUUCCGGGAGAUACUGCCAGCCUAGGGACCGGGAGAGGCCGAGGGUAUUCCCGGAGUAGGGGUGAAAUCCUAUAAUCCCGGGAGGACCACCUGUGGCGAAGGCGCUCGGCUGGAACGGGUCCGACGGUGAGGGACGAAGGCCAGGGGAGCAAACCGGAUUAGAUACCCGGGUAGUCCUGGCUGUAAACGAUGCGGACUUUGUGUCGGACAAGCUAUGAGCUUGUCCGGUGCCGGAGGGAAACCGUUAAGUCCGCCGCCUGGGGAGUACGGCCGCAAGGCUGAAACUUAAAGGAAUUGGCGGG
rnacentral:rRNA from 1 species